rnacentral:rRNA from 1 species
GACGGGACCGCACAAGCGGUGGAUGAUGUGGUUUAAUUCGAUGCAACGCGAAAACCUUACCCACCUUUGACAUGGCAGGAAUCCCGAAGAGAUUUGGGAGUGCUCGAAAGAGAACCUGCACACAGGUGCUGCAUGGCUGUCGUCAGCUCGUGUCGUGAGAUGUUGGGUUAAGUCCCGCAACGAGCGCAACCCUUGCCAUUAGUUGCUACGAAAGGGCACUCUAAUGGGACUGCCGGUGACAAACCGGAGGAAGGUGGGGAUGACGUCAAGUCCUCAUGGCCCUUAUAGGUGGGGCUACACACGUCAUACAAUGGCCGGUACAGAGGGUAGCCAACCCGCGAGGGGGAGCUAAUCCCACAAAGCCGAUCGUAGUCCGGAUCGCAGUCUGCAACUCGACUGCGUGAAGUCGGAAUCGCUAGUAAUCGUGGAUCAGCAUGUCACGGUGAAUACGUUCCCGGGUCUU